AUUGAACGCUGGCGGAAUGCUUUACACAUGCAAGUCGAACGGCAGCACGGGGCAACCUGGUGGCGAGUGGCGAACGGGUGAGUAAUAUAUCGGAACGUGCCCAAUCGUGGGGGAUAACGUAGCGAAAGUUACGCUAAUACCGCAUACGAUCUACGGAUGAAAGCGGGGGAUCGCAAGACCUCGCGCGAAUGGAGCGGCCGAUAUCAGAUUAGGUAGUUGGUGGGGUAAAGGCUCACCAAGCCAACGAUCUGUAGCUGGUCUGAGAGGACGACCAGCCACACUGGAACUGAGACACGGUCCAGACUCCUACGGGAGGCAGCAGUGGGGAAUUUUGGACAAUGGGCGCAAGCCAGAUCCAGCCAUUCCGCGUGCAGGAUGAAGGCCUUCGGUUGUAACGUAGCUUUUGUACGGUAACGAAACGGUACGUGCCUAACUACGUAGGGCGUAAUGACGGUACCGUAAGAAUAAGCACCGGC
rnacentral:rRNA from 1 species